rnacentral:rRNA from 1 species
GUGGGGAAUAUUGGACAAUGGGGGGAACCCUGAUCCAGCCAUGCCGCGUGUGUGAAGAAGGCCUUUUGGUUGUAAAGCACUUUAAGCGAGGAGGAGGCUACCGAGAUUAAUACUCUUGGAUAGUGGACGUUACUCGCAGAAUAAGCACCGGCUAACUCUGUGCCAGCAGCCGCGGUAAUACAGAGGGUGCAAGCGUUAAUCGGAUUUACUGGGCGUAAAGCGCGCGUAGGUGGCCAAUUAAGUCAAAUGUGAAAUCCCCGAGCUUAACUUGGGAAUUGCAUUCGAUACUGGUUGGCUAGAGUAUGGGAGAGGAUGGUAGAAUUCCAGGUGUAGCGGUGAAAUGCGUAGAGAUCUGGAGGAAUACCGAUGGCGAAGGCAGCCAUCUGACCUAAUACUGACACUGAGGUGCGAAAGCAUGGGGAGCAAACAGGAUUAGAUACCCCAGUAGUCC